rnacentral:sRNA from 1 species
GGCAUCUGCUUAUGUAUUGGCACAACAACAAUAACAAGCAACGACGAAGACAAUAAAAACAACACGUAACGACUCCAGCACAACAAAAACAAAAUCGCGGAGGCGCAGCUAACUGAUUCUUUUGGAGAGGAGUUGCUGUCGGGACCCGUCCCGCAGCCAGUCGGAAGAAGAAUAAAACUGCCUUGAGGCAGCGCACAGACUGGUUGGAUCGCUCGACGAUCAUGGCAGCAUCAGCGACCAAAGCAAUCCGUUUGCUAUUGAACUCCCAGCCUGGGAGAUAUCCCUGAAGCGACUGGCUCAAGGGACGGGUCGACAAACAAAAACAACAAGCCCGAAAUCAUAAUAAAAACAAAGCACGCACCUACUUGGGGGGGAGCUUCGGCUCCCCCAGUAGCUUCACCCCCUCCCUCCGUUUUCCCCGUUUUUCCUUCGCCUUACACCAUUUCCCCAU